CACUCAUCGGCGUGCUUGCUUGAAUGAUGUGGAUCGGUUUGGCAAGCUUUCGGAUUUCCCUUCACUAGUAGACACAUUUAAUAUUUGAUUAGACUUAAUUUUGUGGGGAGUUCUAUGUUGUUUUCGUUAUUCUUUCUAGGUUUGAUCCAAUAUUGGGGUUAAUUAACCUAAUGCUAAGAGGUUCCAUGUAGAGCGGCCCUGUGAUACUCAUUAGUGGUUUUAUCAAGCUUGGUUUUAUUCCUUCUAAAAGCUUGGUUUUGAUUUCCCAAAAUUUCUUCACUCUUUUACUGUAUGUAUAAUUUAGUAAAAUCCUAAUUCUUCCUUUA